CAACUGGUUUGGCGCAUAGAUUUGACCGCCUGAGGAUUCUCUUUAAUUCUCGCACUUCUUUCUCGCCAAAUUCUGGAAUCUUCCUAUGACGCAAGAGAUAGCUAUAGAGUAAGCCAACGGCAUAAGUGAGUGCUCUCUUUCGGUGAAAACCUCAUUUUCAGAGCCUUCCUUGGCACUUGUCCUGACGCUUCACGGUUGAAACGGAGUAUAGUAGCUAAAAUGGCGAUGGUUGUCCACGAUGUCCAGUGUGGAAACAAUGGAAAUCAAUAACAGCAAUUCACAUUCCCAUGAAAAUGGCCAUUUGAGAGGUUCAAGUAACUCCAGCAAAGAGAAUUCUGCCGAGAAAGAUGCGUUUGUUAACCAUGCUGAGGUAGCUUGGCAUGAGAAACGAAAACAGUGGACGGGUGAUCUGUCUCAAAAGUCACAGAGAAUGCCUAGAGAGCCAAUUAUGAGGUUUCUAUUACUUUCUAAUUCUGCAUUGGCCCAUGCAUGAUGUAUUGUUUUCUGGAAUCUCUCGAGAGUUUGUGUGUUCGGAAACGCUGGACCACAACAUACGAGGAUCUGCUUUGCUCCUCUGAACCUUUUCAACAGCCAAUACCCUUAGCUGAGAUGGUGGACUUUUUAGUUGACAUAUGGCAUGAAGAAGCCCUUUAUGACUAGAUUGUUGUAAUGCACGGUUGUUUGUGCAAAAUUGGUUGCAUGGUAUAUAAUUGAUUCUCUGAACAAGUGUUGAAAUGUAAAGUUUAUGUAUUUUAGUUUUUUCACAGUUGUGAUUUACUGACAGCCCUAUAUUAAACUGAACUUUUGAAGUUCUGGAUG